rnacentral:tRNA from 2 species
UAGAUUGAAGCCAGUUUAGGGUGUUUAGCUGUUAACUAAAAAUUUAUAGGUUUAAGUCCUAUCAAUCUAG